rnacentral:rRNA from 1 species
ACGAACGCUGGCGGCGUGCUUAACACAUGCAAGGCGAACGGAAAGGCCCUGCUUUUGUGGGGUGCUCGAGUGGCGAACGGGGGAGUAACACGUGAGUAACCUGCCCUUGACUUUGGGAUAACUUCAGGAAACUGGGGCUAAUACCGGAUAGGAGCUCCUGCUGCAUGGUGGGGGUUGGAAAGUUUCGGCGGUUGGGGAUGGACUCGCGGCUUAUCAGCUUGUUGGGGGGGUAGGGGCUUACCAAGGCUUUGACGGGUAGCCGGCCUGGGAGGGUGACCGGCCACAUUGGGACUGAGAUACGGCCCAGACUCCUACGGGAGGCAGCAGUGGGGAAUAUUGCACAAUGGGCGGAAGCCUGAUGCAGCAACGCCGCGUGCGGGAUGACGGCCUUCGGGUUGUAAACCGCUUUCGCCUGUGACGAAGCGUGAGUGACGGUAAUGGGUAAAGAAGCACCGGCUAACUACGUG